UGCGGCGAUCGUGGGGAUUUGGGCCGGCCGGCUUGCGGACCACGUUAAUCACGCCGCUAAAAGGUCGGGGGCCGCGCACC
rnacentral:ncRNA from 2 species